rnacentral:misc_RNA from 1 species
AAAAAAAAAAAAGAAAAAAAAAAUUAAAACCAUUCUUCAUAGACCAAAUCAAUGGUUUCAUCUCUGCAGAAACAAUUUUUCACACAUCAGAAUAACAAAAGCAUAAUGGGUUGUUGUUGGUGGAAGCGAUGCCUUCUCCCUUAAGGCAUCAGCUAAAUCACAAUUUUGUGAUACAGAAACUUAUUCUGGUUCUGCUUCACAUCUUGAAACUUAUUUAUUCAUUCAUCUGAAGCUGAUUUCUUCUAACUUACCUCUUUUUCUCUUUUUCCCCAAUGCUUUAACAUCCCGUGACUUGUGUGUUUAAGCCCUGGCUUCAUUACUGGGAUGUGGGAGGGAACGAGAAGUCUCCAAUUUGCUGCUAUCUCAUAUGAAAUAUAAUUACCAAAAAGAGUAUAUCAAGUCUUUACAAGGGUAGAAUUGAAUUCAAGUUUCUGUUUUGUCUCGAUGAGCAAGAAAAUGAUCUUUUCAUAGGAACAGGAUUUUUGUGCAGAUGUUGUGUGAUGGAAGACCUGCCCAAUUGCUUGAAUGCAUCUUGCUUCGAAACAAUACCUGAACCAGGCUGUUCACUGUUUUCUUUCUGAUUAACCGAACUUCCCUCCAAUUCAAUUGCACUUGCAUUGGUUAGACUGAGAUACAUAGUUGCAGCUGUCAAAGAAUCCAUUGAAACAGAUCUUCUCACUGGCUGUAUUUCACUUUUUGCAAUCUGAAAAUCAUCACCAGACUCAUAAAUUUUCUCAUUGUCACCAUUUUCGGUAGAAUUUAUGUCUUCCUUCAUAAUUCUUUCGUUUCCAACAUGUACUAUUUCACCUCCCUCCUCUGUUCCAGCCCUGUUUUGUUCAUUUCUCUCCUGAGAAUUGCCUGAUUCACCAUCAACUUCAGAAUCGUCCAUUGGGGUUCUGACUACCGUGUUCUGAUUAUUAGGAUUCUGAUUUACCAAAAUAAGGGGAGUGGUCACAGGAUCAUUGACUAUAUGUGCGCGACACAAAGGACAAUUUGUGUGAGAUCUUAACCAAGUAUCAAUACAAGAAAUGUGGAAGGCAUGGUUGCACUUAGGCAAGAGCCUAAGAGUCUCAUCUUGUUGAAACUCACUCAAGCAAACUGAACAUUCGGUACCUUCAAUAAGCCCUUCGCCUUUCUUGUACUUGCAAACUGUGAUCGAAUUGAUAAUCGACUGUUGCAAACCUGCUGUCGUGAUAAACCAAAUCGGGUGAUCAACCUGGUUCUCGUCAAGAAACUCUUCAUCCAUAUUAUCCGCUUCAUCUUGUGGCUGCCUGUUGUUCCUUGAACUGCACCAACCAGGGCAGGACUUAGCUAUGAUAACAUAAUAGCUAACAACAAGGAAGAAACUGGCGAGCAAAGCAACUAUAAUGAUCACAUAAGGUGACAGGUGAUGCUCUGGGGGUAAGAGAGAAGGAGGAGGUGGAGGUGGUGGUGAUGGAGACAGGUAAUAGUAAUCUGCAUAAGGAUAGCAGUUAUAGGGGCAGGCUGGGUCGCAGAAGUCUGGACAAUCUCCAGUCUGGUUUGUUGCACUCAAAGCUGGGAAGAGUUUUCUGUGCUUCUUUGCCAUUAAAGAGACUGAAGAAUUCAAGAAAUUGAGACGCAAGUGAAGAAAGAGUAUGGGGUCAGUGAAGAGUUGUAUUUUCGUUUCAAUUGGAAGAGAAGAAAUCAACAAGAUUAAGCAACGUGUCCCUUUCAAGUUCUAGUGAAGAGUUAAGGCUGAUACGUUUGCCUUUUUGGCACUUUAAAGCUCCGUAUCUAGAAGUUCUACGCUUCCCUUUGUCUAAAAAUAAGCCCUCUUCUUCAUAAUGUACUUUUUUUUUGGGGUCUAUUUGUAAUAUAGUCUUUGUACCAUUAUGAUAUUUGAAAAUGGAAAAUAAUUAUAUACAUG